GUUUAGGAAUUGGGGCUGUACAGCUCUUAUGCAGAUUCUGAUCCACCAUCAAAAAGGUCAGGCUAAGACGGAUUCAUCGAGUAAAGCUUGAUUUGCUGAAGCCUUCUCUUUUGUCCACUUAGUAGUCUUGAACUAAAAUCGCCUAAUGCAUUCCUUUUGUACAAAUCAUCCUUCAAGCAACAACACAUCAUCGACUCCCUACUAAAUACGUAUAUAAGCAGCUUUAUGGAUUAACUAGGAAAACUUGUAACUAAUGUUAAAGUUUAUGCUAAUGUCAACGCCAUGUAUGCCGAGCCAUGCCAAUUUUUGUUAGCUGCAUCUAUAAA
rnacentral:lncRNA from 1 species